AAAAAAAAAUGGGUUGCCAACACAAAAAAAAUCAGGUGACCUCACAUUUGUGGGAUGAUGCCAUCAUUUUGGUAAGUAACUUUUCUUGUUCUAUGUCACCAUAGUCCAGUUAUUUUGGGGUACUGGGGAGACUUUCUGGUUUUGACUGAGACAAGAUAAUGCAUUAACAUAUUUAUGGAAGCUAUUUAUUCAACAGAUUUACCAUCUUAAAGAUCAAAAUCUUGAAUACAGCUAUUCCUUGUGAUGUUUCAAAAGUCUGCUUCUACGCUAAAUAUUUCUUGUUGACCUGCAUUUGUGUCCCAGCUUUGUGCUAUUGUGAUAAGCAGACAAAGAUCCAUACACAGCCACACCAAAGCACUUGUAAUUGAAAUGUUUUAAAUGUUUUUUGUUUUGUUUUUAUCUUUAGAUAGAGAAGCUGCACGCAGUUGGCUGGAAGACUUUGCUCCUGGUGGAAUAUCCACACAAGAAGGCCAAAAUGAUCUUACCUAAAGAUGAAUUGUUGAGCAAAGGUGCACAGAGAUGUGUGCAAAACAUUUAUGAAAUUUUUAAAAUGAUGGUUGAAGUGAAUCCAGAACAGGCAACAGACAGUAGCCAUGAGCCUGAGGAGGCUACUGUCAUUCUAAAUGUUGAAAUAACGAACCCAUUAAGAGAACAAGAUUCAGUAGCCACAAUAUCCGUGGACCAGGG